AAAAACACUGUAGAUAAUAUGAUAGGGUGGCUCCCUUAAUAAUGGUUACAGUAGUAGUGACCAAACGAAGAAGGCGCUUGGGGAUCUUUGCUUGCUGCUAAAUAAACGAGGGAGGGGGUGGCGUCGGGUUGGGCACCAGAUCCAUCUCCUUGCUCCUCCCUCUUGAUCCCUCCAUGUACAGUUGGGGUACCGGACUGCAUUAUAGAAGGAUAGUUAGAUCUCGCAGCGGGUCGUUGGACAUCAAAUCCAUCUCGCACCGGGCAGAUCUAUCUACCGAUCUAUGAAAAAUAAAAAUGCAAUCUAGUAUGUGAUGCGUCCAUCCGCCGAGCCUAAAAGCUGCUGAAAGCCCUCCUGGACUGAUAAAUAAAGCUAGCAUGGUAGACGCACGCUGGCUGAUUGCCGGCCAGCGCAAAAGGCGGCCCAUUAUUAUUCCAUUCCCCCCCUCCGGCUAGCUCCUCGACAGCGAGAGGGAAGGAAACUGAAGAUAAGGAGAGUGAACGCCCCUGCUAAUUACUAACGGCCCCGCACGCACCAUCGAUAACGUAGGACUGUAUCCUUCUUCCUAGCGUGUCAAGCAUGUACGUAUGUUAUUGUAGGGGCGCAC
rnacentral:lncRNA from 1 species